AGUGAACGCUGGCGGCGUGCUUAACACAUGCAAGUCGAACGAGAACGGAUUAUAGCUUGCUAUAAUUGUCAGCUAAGUGGCGCACGGGUGAGUAAUGUAUAGGUAAUAUGCCUCUUACUAAGGGAUAACAAAUGGAAACGUUUGCUAAUACCUUAUACUUCUUAUUAACAGAAGUUAAUAAGGGAAAGAUUUAUUGGUAAGAGAUUAGCCUGUAUUGUAUCAGUUAGUUGGUGGGGUAAUGGCUUACCAAGACUAUGACACAUAACUGGUUUGAGAGGAUGAUCAGCCAGACUGGGACUGAGAACGGCCCAGACUCCUACGGGAGGCAGCAGUAGGGAAUUUUCCACAAUGGGCGAAAGCCUGAUGGAGCAACGCCGCGUGCAGGAUGAAGGCCUUCGGGUUGUAAACUGCUUUUCUCUGUGACGAAUAUGACGGUAACAGAGGAAUAAGGAUCGGCUAAUUCCGUGCCAGCCGCCGCGGUAA
rnacentral:rRNA from 1 species